AGGGUGGAAAUGCAUGGCUGGAAUUGAGGGACAUCCAGGGUUUCUGUCCUAUUUUCACACCCAGAAAAGAAAAUGUCUGGAGCUGGAUUCUGAUGUCUCAGGGAGACCUGGCCAUGUUUCCCUGUGUUCUCCUGAAAGUAUGAGACCCCUGAGACCCAAAAGAAGGGUCAGUGAAUACAAGCAUCAGAAACACACUCCACCUUGGAGUGGGGCUCAGCCUCUCUGGUGACCCACUCCCUCAUCACAUGGCCAUCAUCCUGGGACCAGGACCCCCGCUCUAUGGCCACACCACCAUUAACCCAAUGCCUCUGGACAGAUGUAUUUUAUCUUCUUGAAAGGACUGUCCAGCAAUCCUCUCCCAGUGACUCCCUCAGAUAAUUCCACCUGCCUGAUGCCUGGGAUUCUUUAGGGUGGUGAUUCAGUUCAAGGAGACUCCCCAGAGCUCACAGGAAGAGGAUCUGGAAAGAAUCUGAGGAGCUGAGCUGGACGACUGUGGAGUAAGGAUCAAAAGACCCUCUGAGGAAUGAGAAUUAAGAGUAGAAGUCUUGCCACCUGCUUCCAGGAUGAAGUCAGGAAGGGCACUGGACAAUGACUAGGGUCUGAAAGCU